GAAGAAGAAGAAGAAGAAGAAGACUGACUUUCACACAGCUGAAAGCUAAGUUCCAAAAUGUGGGUCAGAACUUUGCCCACAACUUGGAGUCGACGAAUGAUCCAGUUGCAGGCAGCGCGAGUCACGUGAAGGAGUGGUUUGAUCAAUACAAGGACUUCAAUCCGGGCAAUGUGGAUUCUUUCAGCGUUACGGGAGGAGUCGAUGUUACUGAUUUUACGCAGCACACACCUGGCGCGUCGGACGGGAACGGAAAAUCGGAGAGCAGCGGCGGCAGCGGGACACUAUGGAUAAUACUGGCGUGUGGCCUCCUGGGUAUUCUCGCUGCUACUGGUGUAGCCAUUGGAUAUUUGUACGCGAACUCAGGCACUGCCGCUUUAUCUGUAACUCAGUGAGAACGUUCCUGUCUUACUAUCUGCUACAAGAUUCAGGAGCCUAGCGGACUGUUUAUACAUCUAUAGUAACGUGUAUUUGUUAUUCCUGUGGUUCGGCCUCUAUUAAAUCUAUUAUUAGUAACUAUA